rnacentral:rRNA from 1 species
ACGAACGCUGGCGGCGUGCUUAACACAUGCAAGUCGCACGGAAAGGCCCUGCUUUUGUGGGGUGCUCGAGUGGCGAACGGGUGAGUAACACGUGAGUAACCUGCCCUUGACUUUGGGAUAACUUCAGGAAACUGGGGCUAAUACCGGAUAGGAGCUCCUGCUGCAUGGUGGGGGUUGGAAAGUUUCGGCGGUUGGGGAUGGACUCGCGGCUUAUCAGCUUGUCGGCGGGGUAGUGGCUUACCAAGGCUUUGACGGGUAGCCGGCCUGAGAGGGUGACCGGCCACAUUGGGACUGAGAUACGGCCCAGACUCCUACGGGAGGCAGCAGUGGGGAAUAUUGCACAAUGGGCGGAAGCCUGAUGCAGCAACGCCGCGUGCGGGAUGACGGCCUUCGGGUUGUAAACCGCUUUCGCCUGUGACGAAGCGUGAGUGACGGUAAUGGGUAAAGAAGCACCGGCUAACUACGUG